rnacentral:rRNA from 1 species
AGCUCCAAUAGCGUAUAUUUAAGUUGUUGCAGUUAAAAAGCUCGUAGUUGGAUCUUGGGUCGUAAAGGUCGGUCCGCCUACUCGGUGUGCACCUGCCCUUCCGUCCCUUUUGUCGGCGGCGUGCUCCUGGCCUUAAUUGGCUGGGUCGCGGCUCCGGCGCUGUUACUUUGAAAAAAUUAGAGUGCUCAAAGCAAGCUUAUGCUCUGAAUACAUUAGCAUGGAAUAACGUGAUAGGAGUCUGGUCCUAUUGUGUUGGCCUUCGGGACUGGAGUAAUGAUUAAUAGGGACUGUCAGGGGCAUUCGUAUUUCAUUGUCAGAGGUGAAAUUCUUGGAUUUAUGAAAGACGGACCACUGCGAAAGCAUUUGCCAAGGAUGUUUUCAUUAAUCAAGAACGAAAGUA